rnacentral:rRNA from 1 species
GACGAACGCUGGCGGCGUGCCUAAUACAUGCAAGUUGAGUGCUGAAGGUUGGUACUUGUACCAACUGGAUGAGCAGCGAACGGGUGAGUAACGCGUGGGGAAUCUGCCUUUGAGCGGGGGACAACAUUUGGAAACGAAUGCUAAUACCGCAUAAAAACUUUAAACACAAGUUUUAAGUUUGAAAGAUGCAAUUGCAUCACUCAAAGAUGAUCCCGCGUUGUAUUAGCUAGUUGGUGAGGUAAAGGCUCACCAAGGCGAUGAUACAUAGCCGACCUGAGAGGGUGAUCGGCCACAUUGGGACUGAGACACGGCCCAAACUCCUACGGGAGGCAGCAGUAGGGAAUCUUCGGCAAUGGACGAAAGUCUGACCGAGCAACGCCGCGUGAGUGAAGAAGGUUGUCGGAUCGUAAAACUCUGUUGGUAGAGAAGAACGUUGGUGAGAGUGGAAAGCUCAUCAAGUGACGGUAACUACACAGAAAGGGACGGCUAACUACGUG